GAUGAACGCUGGCGGCGUGCCUAAUACAUGCAAGUCGAGCGAACAGACGAGGAGCUUGCUCCUCUGACGUUAGCGGCGGACGGGUGAGUAACACGUGGAUAACCUACCUAUAAGACUGGGAUAACUUCGGGAAACCGGAGCUAAUACCGGAUAAUAUAUUGAACCGCAUGGUUCAAUAGUGAAAGACGGUUUUGCUGUCACUUAUAGAUGGAUCCGGGCCGCAUGAGCUAGUUGGUAAGGUAACGGCUUACCAAGGCGACGAGGCGUAGCCGACCUGAGAGAGUGAUAGGCCACACUGGAACUGAGACACGGUCCAGACUCCUACGGGAGGCAGCAGUAGGGAAUCUUCCGCAAUGGGCGAGAGCCUGACGGAGCAACGCCGCGUGAGUGAUGAAGGUCUUCGGAUCGUAAAACUCUGUUAUUAGGGAAGAACAAAUGUGUAAGUAACUAUGCACGUCUUGACGGUACCUAAUCAGAAAGCCACGGCUAACUACGUG
rnacentral:rRNA from 1 species